AUGAAGAUAUCACUGAUUCUACUGCUGCUCACCCUGGGGCUCCUUGUUCAGGGUUCAUCAGGAGACAUCAUCCUGACUCAGUCUCCUGGAUCUCAGUCUGUUGUGUCAGGACAGACUGUCUCUAUCAGAUGUAAAGCCAGUUCAGGUAUAAGUAACUACCUUCACUGGUACCUUCAAAAAUCUGGAGAAUCUCCCAAACUCUUGAUUUAUUCUUCUACAAGUCGUCAGUCUGGAGUAGCAGGUCGUUUCAGUGGGAGUGGAUCUGGAACUGACUUCACUCUGACCAUCAGUGGAGUUCAGAUUGAAGAUGCAGGAGUUUAUUACUGUUCACAGAGUGGUUACAGCUUCCCGUUCACACAGUGAUACAACGUCGUACAAAAACCUCCCUCAUAUAAAGAGGAACUGAUCUGACUCAACAGCUGCAUACAAAUUAGAGCUAAAAAAAAAAACUUUAAAUAUGCAACAUAAUUAAAUCAUCAUAACAAGGUAUAUUGACAGAAAUAACCUGAAUCUCAUAUUUUUAUUGACUAUAUUGUUUGUAAAAAAAUCCAUUAAUAACCUACUCUGUGUUUGAAUCAAACAGUCUUGAUGUCUGAACUUUUAACAGGCAUGCUAUAACAAAUUAUCAUUGCACCAGAACUUUAUUCUUUAAACCAUUUUCUUAGGGUUUAAUUGUAAUCCUUCUCAUCUAUCUGAAAAACAUAAACAGUGUUGAACUGGAUCACUACAUGAAUUACUAAUAUUAAUUACACUAUGUAUUUAUGAAAAAGCAAUCUAGAGUUAAGAAAUAAGAUUGUGAUA